rnacentral:lncRNA from 1 species
UUUUUUUUUGCGGGAAUAAUACUUGUAUUACUCAAAGAUCAAGUUCUUACAAUCAUCUCGGACAAUCGACAAAAUCUCCUCCGGGCCUGAACCGACCCACGUAAUUGUCCGACCCUCGACUCUAGCAAGACUAGCUAGUUUAUCGCUCGCUUUAUUUUGAUGAGGAAGAAGAGUAAUACAAGAAUUUUGAAGACUCGGUAAGUACUUUAUUGGGACUGUCUAUUUGACAUUUGACUGUUUUUUAAUUCGAAAACAGUCAAAUUUCCCGACCAAUCAACACAAUACAUCUGUAUUAGCAGCAAAAUCAUCAAAAAACAGAAAAGAACACCUAAACGGGUCGGGUAAACAUCUCACGCGGUUCGUCCUGGACAAACAAACCCCCCUCCCGAUCAGGGGACCACAUAGCACAUGCUAGCAAGUUUGCAACGCAUGCAAAGACCAAGCCCCUCCACAAAACAGGGCUAGAACAAAUCUGGGAGCCGCCCAUGGGAGAGGCAGCCAUGGCAGAUCGGGGAGGAGGAGAAGGAAGAGCAAACACAAAAUUCGGAGAGGGAAAUGUACCUGAGGAGAAGCAGCAGGGAGAUCAACAACACGAUCAUCUACAGGUCAGCAAAAACAGUCGGACACCAACUCCCUCAUCCAUCAUCUCUCUUCACCUCUUGCAAGAACAAAAACUGAAGGAGUUUCCUUCAUGUACAAAACAGAUAGAUCAACAUCAGAGAACAUCCCAGAAAAUUCCAUAGUGUAAAAAACCAGAAAAUUACAGUGUAAAUCCCCAUGUAACUAGUCUUGUUCCUAACAGAUUACACUGUAAAUUCCCCAUAAAUUCCAGUGUAAAUUAUACAUUGUAAAUACACAAAAAUUACAGUGUGAAUCAUAGACAUCAGAAAACAUUUCAGGAACCUAGUCAAUUUCCAGUGUAAAUCCUAGAAUUUUACAGUGUAAAUCCCCAUGUAAAACCAGUCAAUUUCCAGUGUAAAUCCCAGAAAUUACAGUGUAAAUCCCCAUGUAAACUAGUCAAAAUUCCAGUGUAAAAUCCCAAAAAAUUACAGUGUAAAUCCCCAUGUAAAACCAGUCAAUUUCCAGUGUAAAUCCCAGAAAUUACAGUGUAAAUCCCCAUGUUAACUAGUCUAAAUUCCAGUGUAAAAUCCCAGAAAAUUACAGUGUAAAUCGCCAUGUAAACUAGUCAAAAUUCCAGUGUAAAAUCCCAGAAAAUUAUAGUGUAAAUUUCCAGUGUAAACUAGUCAAAAUUCCAGUGUAAAUCCCAGAAAAUUAGAGUGUAAAUCCCCAUGUAAACUACUCUUGCACCUAGAAAAUUCCAGUGUAAAAUUCCCAUAAAUUCUAGAAUAAAGAAAUGAUGGAAUUACAUUGAAAAGUAUACACUGUAAAAUCCCCAUAAAUUCCAUUGUAAGCAUGUAGACAAAAGAUGAAGUUACAGUGUAAAUCAUAGACAUCAUAAAAAAUCCCCAUGUAAAUCCGGUGUAAAUCUAGUCAAAAAUCCAGUGUAGAUCCUAGAAAAUUACAGUGUAAAUCCCCAUGUAACUAGUCUUGUGCCUAGAAAUUUCAAGUGUAGAUUUCCCAUAAAUUCCAGAGUAAAGAAAAUGGUGUAAUUACAUUGAAAGUACACUUUACAGAGUAAAAAAUGCAGUGAAGACAAAUGAUGUACUUACAGUGUAAAUUACAUAGUAAAUUAAACUGUAAAUGCAGACUUACAGUGUAAAAUAUGAAAAUUACACUGUAGCUACCUGGAAAUUUUCCACUGUAAAAUCCCUAGAAAUUCCAGUGUGAAAUUAAACAUGUAAAAAUCCAGUGCAAAUCUAAGGGUUUUUACACUGUAAGUACCUAGUAAAUUGCAGUGCAAAACCCCUAGAAAAUACAGGGACUAUCUCCUGCCCCUCUCCCAAUAGAAAGAAGCAUUUCAAAAAAAAAACUUUCAUCUAUUACUAAACGCUUUGCUGCUCAUGAUUAUGUUAACACUGACAUUCUGCUUUCCAAAUGUCACGGGAGAGGAGCGUGAUGAGGGUAGUAACUGAAGAGGAUCUACUAAGAUUGCCAUAGGAAGAACUCAUACUAAAUGUGAGGUGCAAUUGCUUUGGGAAUAUGUUUAAAAUACAUAAAAGGGUAAAAAGCUAACAAUAAAAACAUUUUCUUUCACUGCGCUCCUUCAUUCCGACAUUAUAUACAAGGUAAAAAUCCCAAAAUCAAAAAAAUACCAGGUACAUUCAGGAGAUGUCUAAAAAAAGAACUUGUGAUGAACCUUGCACGUACAUUCAGGAGAGGGAUCUACGAACAUCACCGAAACUAUCUACGAAAACUCCAGGAGCAAAUCAGAUGACAGUUUCAUCACAACAAGAGAUGACAAUGUAAGCAAAGCAACAGCUGAAUAACUAUUACAGGAAAAUGCCGAAGGAAAACACACUAACAAUCAAUAAACUUACUUUGCAGACACUGGAGGCAGAAUUGCAUCAGGAAAUGCCAGCAAGCGAAGAUGGGGGAGGAGAAUCCAAUCCCUGGAACACAAACCUGUUCUACAACAUGAAUCUGCAACAGGAACCAUCUUCUGCAAAAUCAUUAGGCACGAAAGGUUCACCCCCAGAAUCUGCACUCUCUAAAGAUGAUACUACAGGAACAUCCGGAUGAGAGGCUUUCCGUAGCUUACCCAUUUAAACCUAUAAACAAGGAGGACAAAAAGGAAAAAGAAGUUAAAUAACAGUGAAAGGCAUCCAAUUAAAACAUACAAAAUCACUGUAAUCUAACUGACAAUUACAGUACUGAACCAUAGAAACUAUAGAGUAAAAGUUGGUGAAAAAUAAAGUUAGCUGAAGCAUUUGAAAAGUCCUAUAGUACCAAUCCAAGCAAAGUACAGUGACAUUGUCGGGUAAAACUACAUUCAAAUUACACUUCCAAUCCGCUGUAAUUACACUAGGACAAUUCACUGGAAAAACAUUAGGUAAAAAAAACUGCAAGACAAAGUGCACUGUAAGCUUGGGAUAAAAUUACACUGUAAAUAAUGUGUAGCUUACACUGUAAACUUGGGACAAAUUCACUGUAAAAAUUGGAUACAUUACACUGUAAGUGCAGGACAAAUUCCACUGUAAACAUUGGGUACAUUACACUGUAAGUGCAGGACAAAUUACACUGUAAACUUGGAACAAAAUAUGCUGGGAUUACACUGUAAAAAUUGGCUAGAAUACACUGAAAAGUGCUAUACAUGAAGGGGGGCAUGUACAUAAUCCCCCAACUCCCUUCAGAAAAUUACACUGAAUGCGCUGUCACAAAUUACACUGAAAUUAAACUCAAAAAAUACAUGCCUGCUUGAACUCAAAACAUCAUACAAACAUCUUAGGUGAAUUAUACAUCAGCAUGAUAAAAAACCUAACCCUGUAUAGGCACAAAAGCAAGCUACAUAGCUGCAUACAGCAGCAAGCAUCAGGAAUAAAUAGACCAGAACACAAAAAUCCGCGGAAUCACGCACCUGAGAGGGGUGGGGGGGGGGUGUCACAUCUACAUAAUCCCCCAAACUACAACAACCCGGACAGGAGACAGGAAAACAACCACCGCAUCUACAACUACAUCAGCGGCGCGGGGAGGCGCACAAAUCACGCACCUCCACCUCCAGUAGGGAGUCAACCAUAAAAUCAUGCAUCUAUUAUGCAUCUCCAACUACAAAACAGGUGCUCGGGAAGACACAAAUCACGUAUCUCCAACUCCGGCAGGUAGUCAACAAAGUCAUGCAUCUACAACUACAAGCAGGUGCUCGACGGCACACACACAAAUCAGUCAUCUCCACCUCCAGCAGGGAGUCAACAACAUCAUGCAUCUACAACUACAACAGCGUGCGAGACGACAAGGGCACGACGACAGGAACGACAUGAACUCACCUGGAUCUGGAACCAAGACGCAAGCAAAAAGCACAUGGGCAGAGAGCGGAAGAGAGCGGGAGAGAGGAACAAAAGAAAGGAACCGAAAUCAAAAUUGAGCGGCGAGAAUCGCCAUGGACAGAGAGAAUCGCCUACUGUGCUAUGCCGCUCGAGCUCGCCCUCGAGCUUAUCGAAACAGAGCGUCCAGAAUGGGGAAAGUGCAAAAGACACGCUCUCCCAAAUUCAAACAAGACAAAAACCGAACAGAGCUGGACCGGCGAUAACGGGCGGACAGAAAACCGCGCCCGGCAAAAAAAAAGCGGACCCGGAAACGAACCCGAACAAAAAACAAAACCAGCGCGAAUCUCGGCGCAAAAACGGACGGACAACAAUUCGAAUGACGACGAAUUACAAAACACUCAGCUGUAAAAUAGCAAAUCAGACUUUAUUUCCA